rnacentral:lncRNA from 1 species
AUCUGAAUAACAGAAGAAGUGAAACGGCGCAUCAGUUUCCUUUUACCUGGACGAACAAGAACAACAACCAAGUUACACCUUCAUCCAUCGACCUCGAAACCUUCAAUACGCACACGAAAUCUAACUAAAUAGUUCACUCUGUCUCUCUAUCUCUAUUAAUAAACAAAAAGCCACAAAAAAGAAAAACUGAGGGGUUUGGGUAGUAUAUAUGCCAGAGGCUCGAUCAUCAGCCCCGUUGUAAACAAACAACAAACUGAGAACUCCUUCACACAACCUGCGAUCUACCGUUGUUCGACAUCAAUUUGUUGUUCAUUUCAAAUUUUUCAUAUGAUUUCUCAAAUAUGAUCUACGGUGUCUCAUUCAUUAAUCUCUUGCUUGAGCACUAAAAUAUUCUGUCUUACCCGAUCAAUUCUGACGCCAGAACUAUCUGUCAACCGACAAAACCGUGCCAAUAAACAAGAUCUAAGAAGGUGAGAGUCAUAUUUUUUGGUCAUAGUCAUGUUUUUCAUGUUUCGGUCGUAGUUUUUUGUCGUAAGUUUCCGCCGGAUCUGAGUCAUAUUUUUUGGUAUAGUCAUAUUUGGUCAUAAGAUUCCACCGGAUCUGAGUCAUGUUGUUUAAAACUGUGGAGAAGGUGAGUCAUAUUUUGUUUCUUCAUAAUUGUAAACUGUGGAGAAGGUGAGUCAUAUUUUUUGGUCAUAAUCAUAUUUUUUGGUCAUAAGUUUCCACCGGAUCUGGGUUUUAUGGUCCAAGCCCAUCCGACGCCCAUCCUCUAUUUAUAAUAAUAGAAGGCAUGAGUAUUCCAUGCGAUACAUGGAUGUUCCUCUCAUAUAAAUAAAAAGAUGCCGUCUUCCUCUCGUAUAAAUAAAAAGAGAAGGAUGAACAA